rnacentral:rRNA from 1 species
CCUACGGGUGGCAGCAGUGGGGAAUAUUGCACAAUGGGGGAAACCCUGAUGCAGCGACGCCGCGUGAGGGAUGAAGUAUUUCGGUAUGUAAACUUCUAUCAGCAGGGAAGCAAAUGACGGUACCUGACUAAUAACCAUCGGCUAACUACGUGCCAGCAGCCGCGGUAAUACGUAGGGGGCAAGCGUUAUCCGGAUUUACUGGGUGUAAAGGGAGCGUAGGCGGCAUGGUAAGUCUGAUGUGAAAACCUGGGGAUUAACCCCGGGACUGCAGUGGAAACUGUCAGGCUAGAGUGACGGAGAGGCAAGUGGAAUGCCUGGUGUAGCGGUGAAAUGCUUAGAGAUCAGGCAGAACACCGAUUGCGAAGGCAGCUUACCG